UCAGCCUCGACUCAAGUGUCCGGAACUCGGACGUGGCCCUUCCCUGAAAGGAAAGCAACUUUUUUUGCUUGAGCGAACCAAAUCAUGAGCUUUUAUUUCCCCCUUCAAUGACUCGGAGGAUAGUUCUAAAAAUACAUUCUUUCCCAAAUUCAGAUGGUAGAAAGCCAUCAGGAGAGCACCUACAGAGCGUAUCCCUGCAGCGUGACUUGGGUCCGUUCUAAGUGACACAUACCACUUCCACAGUCUGCCAAAACCUGCUCCACAGCUCCACGGUGUGCGACGCCACCUCUGAACGCUGCGACGAGGCCAGUUUUCCAGGACGAAAUCACCAGCUCAUGGGUUUUGAAAGUGAGAGACCACCGUUCCUGCUAUCCCCGCAGCUUUGCACUGAAGGCUGAAAACCCAACGACGGUCCUCAGAUGCCCGAACAGCACGGAUAACCCACACCUCCGUGUUGCGCUGCUUUAGAUGAAUGGCCCCAACAGGGUGGGAAGGCUGAUGAAUGAACAAGCAGCUUGUAGCCUGGCUGAAGUGGUGCCUAACCAGUCGGCUCACCGCGGUUCCUGGCAGCACAGGGGAACGCGUCAGGAACGGGCUCUCGGGACGCUGCGGGAUGCUGUGGGACAGGCAACGUGCCCGCCAGUCGCCAGCACUCCCCAUCUGAAUCAUCCAGGCUGGGGUGCAAAGCGUGGAGACCUGGGUGUUUCUCAGAAGCUCAGGCAAGCAGCUCUGCACCACUGGUGAAAAAAUCCCUUCUGGGACCACACAUCCUGAACACUACAAAAACUAUUUUUCCACUGGAGCUAUCAUUCAAACAUGAGUCAUGACACAGGUUUUCUGACCUUAUCUUGGCUUCUUCAGAGAGAAGAGCUUCCUUCCACGUCUUGCAUCAAGCCUGAAGGUAGCCCGCAGGCUCCUCUUGCUUACCCUGCUCUUAACAGCUCUUAAGAGCCGUUAGGACAACGAGGAAUCGGGGGGCUCAGACAGCUGAACUUCUAGGUGCUUCUUUUACUUCAUCAGUUGCUACCACACGGAGGGAAAAAGCUACCGUAACAGCUACCAUGGCAGAACCACCCCUCCGAACACUUUGGUGUCAGAGCAGUGCUGAAGGACAAAACACCAGUUUCAGGGCAGCUUUCAGGAUAACCACUGGAGCCAGGGAGGAUCUGUAGGUACCGAAUCAGUAAGAAUUGUUUUUUCUUACACCAGACAAGUAGGUUGCUUGUUCCAACACUUCAGUCCCUCCUGAUAAAGAAAAGAAGGGGUUUGCUAUACUGAAUUUAAGGAGCAAAGUUCAGCAAGGCUUUUCUACACAUGCAGAGGCAGGGUCUUCAUCUGUGCAGGUACAGAUAGCGCAGAAGAUGUCCUCAGGUACCGCCCUCAGAUGGACAAUGGGGGUAAAGCACUUGCUCAGGCUCUUAGGAGUGGGCUCUGGAGGAACGGGCGAUGUCACAGGAAUUAUGGCACAAGCACCUGUGAAAGUCUACUGGACGUGCCGCAAAGUGAGGGCUCUGUAGGCAUGACCAACGUAAGGAAACUUGCUGCAAACAGUUGAGUCUAAAGGCCACUGCCAGCAUUUAAACGAAGCUCCAAUUACAAUGCAGAGAGUUGGCUAUAGAUGCCUCAAUUUAUAAAUAAUGAAUUUUGGAGCUUACUCAGGCUAAAAAAGUAUCUAUUAAAAAUGGAAAUCCAGUGCAAAUCAGUGAAUCAAACAGCUAGGAAUAUAGAGAAAAGAUAAAGAACAAUAAUAAAUUAUUUAUGCUUAUAGCUAAAAAAGCCAUAAGAAAGUUGGAGAGACUAUUCAUCUGUAAAUGGGGCAAUGAAAGAAGAUAAUGGGCCUAAAUUCUGCUUCUGUAAAACUCUCACUGAUUAGGAAGGACUUGCUUAAAAAUCAGCAGAAUAAGUUCUGAUUUGGCCUGGAGAACAACGUGAACUUCACUGAAUGGACGCAGCAGAAAAGCCUUUUAUAGUCACUAUUUAUAACAUGCUGCCUGUGGCAAAGAUUCCUAGUGCUACUCGAAGAGGUUGCACAAAUUGUAGCGGUGAAGGACUGAGGAGGAUAUGCUAGAAGGAAAGCUGCUUGCAAUUUUGGGUAGCCUGAUUUGCCUGGUUUACAAAUCAGAAGAGGAUUUGUCCUCCGUUUCCAAAGCUGAGCCUGAGAUCAGCGCAGUAAGUGCUGCUCCUGGCUUACGUAUCGGUGUCUGCAAGAAAGGAUUUGACCAUCAACUUGCCUUUGUCAUUUGGGGUUUGUUCCCCCCCCCCAUCCUUGGGCUUCCUCAGCUGCAUUGCUUACAUUUUGCUGACAGCUUUAACUUUCCUUUGUCAUUUAGCUGUGCAUGAGGAUUCAGAAGACGCACGCGGAUUGUAGUCCUCGCUUGAUUUAUGGCAUCCAGGUGCUCCAGAGAGCAGCGCGGGUGUACGGAGAUCACUAUAUUUCAGCAGACUCCAGCGGCCACCUCUGGAGUGACGCAUGGCUGGCGUUAGCACCGCACCAGCAGUUGGAGGGAUGAGAUUUUAAAUUGUCUGGUUUUGGGGUAGGAUCUGUCUUAAGUCGCCCUGGGAUGUAUUUUGAAGAUAUGUCAGGGUCAACUAAAGCACGUAGGUGGUUUCGUACCUAUGUCUAUCAAUCAGUGAGCACCUUUCUAGAGGAAGUGGCAGAGGAAUUUAUGCAGGGAUCCUAAUGCCAUUCAUUACCGUGGCCAAGGCACAACCUGACCCAGAUUCCCACGUUCACAGAAGUGGAGAGCACUCUGAUCUGACACCUCCAAUUUUGAGAUACUCUGCUUUAGCUCAAGCUGCCAAUUCUGUCUGCAAGCUGCUGGGUUUGGGCCCGUCCCCGAGCAAGAUUGCAGGCGUAACACCUGACAGGGGAUGGGCUGGUCGUGUAUGAAGGUCGUUUGAGAGGCAGGAGCUGAUCCCCGCACGCAAGCCUUCAUCUAGUGGAUUGGACCCGACUGCGGGCAUUGCCCCCAUCCUGCUCAAAACCCCCUUACCUCUUCAUGUUAACUGCAUCAAAUAGCAUAAAUGGAAAACCUUGGAAAGCGUUUAAUGCCUCUAAAAGGAAGGAGCAGCAGAUAGCAUGUAUUCCAACAGCUCUUGAAGACAAUCGCUAGGCUAAAACUUUUGCUCUGACCUUGCAGUAGAGGAAGAGGUAUUGGUGCUGCCAGAUCAAUAGUCUCCUUUUUGCUUAUGCUUCAUUUUUACCCAUGACCAGAGCUGGUCUGACCUCAGUUCUCGGGUCUUUUGACCCACCAAAUUGAAUUGCUUUUAAUUUUUUUCUAGACAGCCCUCAAAAGCAUUGGAUUGGUACUUUACUGAUGCAAAUGUAGAAGCAAGCGAAUAAUUCAGUUUGAUCUGGUCACAGACUGAGUUAUGGCUGGAGGCUACCUAUGAAUCACUUUUAGCAUAAAAAAAAUAUUCGCAAGAAAUCCAGCAGCUUCUAACUAGUAAUAACUUGAAAUUCCACGUGAAAACUUGACAUUUCCUUCAUACACUCAAUUCGCAGUUUAAAAAGAAUCUUCCUUGUGCAUGUUCAUUUCUGCAUACUGAGCCCCAAAUAUUUUAGCAAACAACCACUGGCAACAAAGUCCAUAGAAACAACCGAUAUCUGGAACAAUUUCUGGAAAAAUUAAUUUUGCGGUCAUACAUUCAGUACUAAAAGAAAGUUUACUGCAUCGGGAUGCAAAUUAUCAUGGCUCUAUUACAGGUCCACCUCCAAGCUGGAAACUCAGCGCUCUUAGGCUGGGCCCACAAAAGCCUGGUCGCAGGGCCAGCCUUCAGGUGGAGUUUGGAUGUGUUAAGGGGACGAUGCCAUUGCUGCAAUGGAAGAGAGCGGGACGUCCUCCUCAGCCCUAUAGGUACCACGUACAGACCCACUAGCGGGAACCGAACACCCUUUGGACGCUCCUCCCUUUAACGCCCACAUAAAACAAGUUCAUUUUCAAUUCAGUGCCCAAAGGCAACAGCCAGGCUGAAAUCGCAGGUUCCCUCCUGCUCCACGAUGCUUCCUGCUGUUGCUUACGUUGCAAUCUCCUCCAGGCUUGCAGCUUGGAUGUACAUCGUGGGCUCUGCCCGCUGCUGCUGAUCCUAACGGCGAUAUCUAAUUCCAACAACGAGAGCUUUUUUUUCUUUAAUUUGUGCGAAUUUCCUUUGAUGCCUAAAUAACAGAAAAGCAGCAAAACAAAAUGAGGCUCUCAUCUGAAUUACUCAGGAGAAUACAGUAAGCUAUUCCAGGCUGUCAGAUACAGUUGUAAUUAGGUGCUUUUAGAAGUACAUUAUCUAUUUUUAUCUGUUAUUUAUUGUGCGUACUACAUUUGUUGUGCCGCGCACGUCGUGCCCCUGAUAGACUCC